ensembl:lincRNA
ACACGAUCACAUUUAUUUGUGUGCAUUUUUGUGAGGUCUUGUAAAUGUGUGAAUCGAUCAACAAGUAAUAUAGCUUCACUUGUUCCCUGCUGUAUUCUAGGUCCUAGCCUGAGUCCUUCCUUGCUCAAUGAGGAGUCUAAAGACCUUUCAUGGCUUUGGAGUUAAGAGGGUGAAAGUAAAAAGUAGAAUGAGUAAAAGAUGACAGAUUCCUACCUUUGCUUUCCACAUUAACCACUGCUUGAAGAUAUCAACAUGUCGGCCACACUGAAUAGUUUUAUCCGCAGUGUCAAAGUCAACAUUGUAGAGUUUACCUGACUGGAAAAGAUAUUCAGCUUGCAUCUGAUUACAUGCAUCUAGAAGGCCCUAAAAAAGGAAAAACAUAUCUAACAUCCUUUUGUCUCAUAUGAAAAAUGUGGAAAACAUUCCUCCUCAGUAUUAAAGACUUCAAGAAGCUUUACUUUGGAAGAUUAAGAAAUAAUCACUAGAAAAGGACAUGUUACCCAUCACUGAGACAGAAAUGUUUUCUCAAUACAUCAAAGAAAACCAAGAAUAUGAAGACAUAAGAAUGAGGAAUGCCUGUUGGAUUUGGAACCUCCAAAGGACCCAAAAGCAAGAGAAUAUCAGAGGCCUCCUCAUCACAAAUAAAAGAGCUGAGAGAAAAUGUUUCAAGAUGCUUCACUGGAAAAACUCACCAGUUUUGAACUUGAAGGAAAAACACACUCUGCAGAAAUCCCC